GGACACUGUGAUAUUAAAGCAGAUAUCUUGAUUGAGAGAAAUAAUGAAACCAAAUAGAGAGAAUGUGAGUGAGAAACUGAGAAGCUAGGAGAGUCACUGCAAGUCAAUUUCAGAGAGAAAGUGAAGAAGCGAGAUAGAGAAAGAGUACAUAAGAAGUCCAUUCAUCUAAUGUGGAUGAGAAUCUUAUAUGAUAUUUGAAUCGGUUCUCAUCAAAGGCAGAGUAGGAAUAAUAGGUGUAGUAUGUUAUGAUUAUGGAGGGUGCUCCGAUUGUGGCCAAAGCUAUUAAGAUUCUGGUGUUUUCCAUGGGAAGAGUAAGGCCUGAUUUUCUCUGUCAUAUCCGGCUGAACUGAGAUUUACUUAUUUUUGUAGACAACUUCCAUUAAGCCAUGUUGUUGGUCUCAUUCUUUUGUGUACCUCGUGCCAAUUUCUUUGGAUGGUUCUCAAGUGAUGUAUAUACUACUGUAGUUUUCGUUAUCAGAUAUUGACUUCGUCCCAUCUUAAGAACUUUGUUGCAUGGUAACCUCCAGGAAUUCGGUGAUAGAAUUGGGAAAAUUAUGUCCCCAACAGUUCCUUGGAGGAAAAAUAUCUCUGAUAUGGAUUGUGAGGGCAAAUUUCUAGAGGACGGAAGGAGUGCUGAGAGAGCCCAAGUGUUCGAUAAAUUAAGAACUAACAACAAUGCAUCACAGUCUCCAUGAUUUGCAAGGAAUCCAAUAAAGUGGGGGAAUGUGCUAUUUGCUUUACUUUCAGGGACAGAGUCCCUGUCUCAUACCGGACAAGCACGGCUUGGAGAGGAACUGAGUAUGGAACAUCAGAUGAUGUUGGAAGAAGCCUAACAUCGCCUGCCCUGAUGUCAUCAGUUGAAGCUCUCUUGCCUGAGAAUACGUGAAGUGAAAGGGACAGAGUCCCUGUCUCAUACCGGACAAGCACGGCUUGGAGAGGAACUGAGUAUGGAACAUCAGAUGAAGUUGGAAGAAGCCUAACAUCGCCUGCCCUGAAGUCCUCAGUUGAAGCUCUCUUGCCUGAGGAUACCUGAAGUGAAAGGUAAGAAACACUUGACUUUCCAAAGGAAAUCAAAGUACUCAGGUGUUGAUGGAGCUCGCAGGAAUUCCCAACCUUGAAUCAUGAUCCUUUGGGACCUGGUUCAGGCUCACUGCCUGUGGCUACGCCUGUGAUUGGAGAAUAGGCCCAUUGGUUCGUGGUAAAGGAUGUGAAUGUCUUGAAUUCUGUUCGCUCACCAAACCUGAUCUAUUUUGAGUAUACUAAGUGUCAUGGCAGGGGGUACACCAGCGUGCUUGGAUCGAUGAUGAUUUCCAAAAAAACAUUCCUUGGAAAGCUGAACAAAAUGAGUGAAAACUCAAUACCGCCACUGUCAUCGUGACUGAGGUCCAGCACCUGGGAUCACAAAUGUCACUGAGGGACUCACAUGGCCUCCAUUCACCUUGCGAGACUUGGAUCCAGUGAGAGAGCCUUCAGAAUGUUCUUUGCUUGCCUAAAUCACCAGAAAUCAUGGCCUAAAUCAAGGCUUCACCUUUUGCUCUAAUGAUAACAUGCUUUCCGGUUGAGGAGAUCAUUGUCAGUAUCUUUGAAGUUAGCCCUACCAACUCCAUCAGCAAUAAUGUAUAGUAGGUUGUGAGGCAAAUGUAAGUUUAGCGGGGGCAGCAUAGUUCAACAAUGUACACUGGAAUGUCAGGAAAUGUGUUUCUGUCCGUGUCUGAAUCCUUCGCAUGAAUGAUAACCCUUCUGUUUCAUAAAACAGAGAUACAUAACGGGAAGGUUACAGGCGACAUGUGGAAUGAGGCAGUAGCAAUUCUCAGGAACUAUGGGAAUGUGGACUCUUCCUGUGUGAAAACAAAGCUCUGUUUUCUUGAAAGACUGAUUGUGGCCAUGGCAUUUAGGUUAGAAAGAGAGCCUUGGAAUUUAAAAGGUUGGCAUGUAGCCUUCUUGUCGGAGGAUUCUAGAAGUGCAUGCUUUCAAAUGUCCAAGGAUUCAUACCACCUUCAUGGAUGUAUGGAGAACACCCAUUUUAAUCCUAGUUUCUAUGUUUAUUGUUGGGACAUUUAUUGUCAGUCUAUCCGGGUAGGUUGCCACUAGUUCUUAUGGAUUGACUGUACCAAAAUGGUCUGGACAUACAUCUCCUCCUCUUCUAGGAUCUAAGAAUGUGAUCAUGCAAGUUUGUUUCUUACACACACUCCUUCUAGGAAUUUUAUAUUUUGGUAUGGCCGUAGGAGAUAGGCAUGGAGUGUCUGCAGGAUUAUCUUUCCUUAUGGUCUUGAUGAGGCCUUGCUGAAGGUUAACUUGGCAUUCUGGCUAUGUGUUUUGGGGCUGAAGGUAGUCCUGAUAUCUUAGACAUUGUUCUUUUCUCCAAGCAAAUAUCAACAAGAAAUUGUGUUUCCAUUUGAUUAUGAAAGUGAGCUGUAUGCUUAGGAUCAUGCUGUUGAUAAUAACAUAUAUCUCAGGGACUACAGGUUAUGCUUGUGUUUGGUGACCUGAGAGGGUUUGAACAGACACUUUCUCUGUGGUGAUCAAUGUCAGAUACCGCAGCAAUAGCACUCACAGGAAUUUAGUACCAGUCAAAAUCUGAAUAGGAGAUAUAUGAGCAUGGUCAGAGACAGAGAGAAAGAACAAUUGUUGAAGAGGCUAAGCAUGUGUGAGACAGAGGAAGACAGUGAGAGACAGAAAGAGAGAGGGGUGGGAGAGGGGGGGUGAAGUGGAAAAGAGGACACUGUGAUAUUAAAGCAGAUAUCUUGAUUGAGAGAAAUAAGGAAACCAAAUAGAGAGAAUGUGAGUGAGAAACUGAGAAGCUAGGAGAGUCACUGCAAGUCAAUUUCAGAGAGAAAGUGAAGAAGCGAGAGAGAGAAAGAGUACAUAAGAAGUCCAUUCAUCUAAUGUGGAUGAGAAUCUUAUAUGAUAUUUGAAUCGGUUCUCAUCGAAGGCAGAGUAGGAAUAAUAGGUGUAGUAUGUUAUGAUUAUGGAGGGUGCUCCGAUUGUGGCCAAAGCUAUUAAGAUUCUGGUGGUUUCCAUGGGAAGAGUAAGGCCUGAUUUUCUCUGUCAUAUCCGGCUGAACUGAGAUUUACUUAUUUUUGUAGACAACUUCCAUUAAGCCAUGUUGUUGGUCUCAUUCUUUUGUGUACCUCGUGCCAAUUUCUUUGGAUGGUUCUCAAGUGAUGUAUAUACUACUGUAGUUUUCGUUAUCAGAUAUUGACUUCGUCCCAUCUUAAGAACUUUGUCGCAUGGUAACCUCCAGGAAUUCGGUGAUAGAAUUGGGAAAAUUAUGUCCCCAAACAGUUCCUUGGAGGAAAAAUAUCUCUGAUAUGGAUUGUGAGGGCAAAUUUCUAGAGGACGGAAGGAGUGCUGAGAGAGCCCAAGUGUUCGAUAAAUUAAGAACUAACAACAAUGCAUCACAGUCUCCAUGAUUUGCAAGGAAUCCAAUAAAGUGGGGGAAUGUGCUAUUUGCUUUACUUUCAGGGACAGAGUCCCUGUCUCAUACCGGACAAGCACGGCUUGGAGAGGAACUGAGUAUGGAACAUCAGAUGAAGUUGGAAGAAGCCUAACAUCGCCUGCCCUGAAGUCCUCAGUUGAAGCUCUCUUGCCUGAGGAUACCUGAAGUGAAAGGUAAGAAACACUUGACUUUCCAAAGGAAAUCAAAGUACUCAGGUGUUGAUGGAGCUCGCAGGAGUUCCCAACCUUGAAUCAUGAUCCUUUGGGACCUGGUUCAGGCUCACUGCCUGUGGCUACGCCUGUGAUUGGAGAAUAGGCCCAUUGGUUCGUGGUAAAGGAUGUGAAUGUCUUGAAUUCUGUUCGCUCACCAAACCUGAUCUAUUUUGAGUAUACUAAGUGUCAUGGCAGGGGGUACACCAGCGUGCUUGGAUCGAUGAUGAUUUCCAAAAAAACAUUCCUUGGAAAGCUGAACAAAAUGAGUGAAAACUCAAUACCGCCACUGUCAUCGU